UACGUAGGUGGCAAGCGUUGUCCGGAUUUACUGGGCGUAAAGCGCGUGUAGGCGGCCCGUUUAGUCUGUCGUGAAAUCUCCCGGCUUAACCGGGAUGGGUCGACGGAUACUGGCGAGCUUGAGGGGAGCAGAGGAAGGUGGAAUUCCCGGUGUAGUGGUGAAAUGCGUAGAGAUCAUGAGGAAGACCAGUGGCGAAGGCGGGUCUCUGGACAGUUCCUGACACUGAGACACGAAGGCCAGGGGAGCAAACGGG
rnacentral:rRNA from 1 species